rnacentral:lncRNA from 1 species
UUGUUGGAUCUAAUUUAAUACAGAUUUAAUCCUAAAUGGUUUGAAUCAAACAUGUUAGUACGUGUUUAAACCCUAAUUCCUAAUCUAUUUAGAUUCUUUUUGGCAUUGGGUUUUGAAUGGUCAAGACCAAAAUCAAUUGGACUUCUAAUUGGCUUUUGAAUGGUCAAAGGCUUAUUAUCUUAGAUUCAAUCCAUUGCUCCUUGAAUUGGAGACAUGCAAGAGUUAGAUGCAUGAAGGACUUCUUCACGUCACUUGGGAAACCCAACUUGGAAGGAGUCCACGCCAUUUAUUUCCUCUCACCCCUUCUCAUUUUUUGCAUGAAAGAGUUUCACACAUCCUUAAUUUUUCGUGUCAUAUGAUGUGUGCCCCUUGGGGUUAAUAUGAAAGAAUUUUAAUGCCUCCUCAUUUCUUUCCUCUUCUCUUGAUUAAAGGAGUCCAUGACUCCUAGGGUUCUUUCCAUUCCCUUAAUCCCAAGAGAUUCCACGUGUUAUUGUGAAAGGAUGUGUGCCAAGAUGUUGUGCGCCUCUUAAAUCCUUUCUUUAUUACAUUUGUGUGAAAGAGUUUCACACGUUUGAUCCACUUGGCCACAUGUCUCUUGGUUGUGUUUAAAAGGAAUGGCAUCCAAAUGUUGGUAACAAGAGUCCUUUUUGAACACAACUCUUCCUACCCCUUAUUAGGACCACCGUGCACCUGCAUAAACCUGAGGAGAUCUAUGACGGAGCCUUCUCUUAGAGUCCAUGACGAUCCAAACUCUCUAAGGUCAGCAAAAUUCAUGCCCU